AGAGACUCACUAUUUCCGUGCAUGGAACUGAAAUGAUGAUGGUUCUUGUGUAGAGAUCAAGACACUUUGUUUCCAAGGUGAUGUGAAAUGGUGCCAAGUGUUGUGUAUGUCUUCUGCCUUCACUCUCUACUAGGCCACUACUGCAUGGAUUUUCAAUAUCUUCAACUAGAACGCUGAUGACACUGAGGAAACAUUCUAUGAUCAUCACAAUGGUUACGGUCGAAUUGUAAUUCCCACGUAGCAGUUGCGGUACAGUGUAAAGUCAGCAUGUAUGUUUUUCUAAAAAAGCGUUAUGGUGUGUCAAGGUGAAAGCUGUGCAUCUUGACAGGAUGAAAGUGGUUUUAUUCCAAUGGCUGUAAGCAUGAAAUCACCUGUCCUUGUGCUGAAGACAUCUGUGAAUUGAUCAACCACAUGUAUAUUUCUAACUAAACCAGCCUGGCAAGCAUGGCGCCUUGUGGGCGUUCACCCCACCAGUACAGCUCUGCUACCAUCAUGGGUUCUUAAAACAGUCUUGGAAAGAUAGCUGCAUUAGAACAUGAUCUUGGCAAGCUCCUAUUUGAAAUGUACCUCAAAGGGAGAAAGACUUUAGACUCAGAGACAUUUAAUAUUUCCAUGGAAACGUGAUAUGUUGUCAGCUGUUGUGUAGAGAGCCGGAGACUUUGUUCCAGUGAAAUGUGAAGUGGUGCCAGGUGUUGUGUAUGUCUCAUGCCGUCAAUCUGCUAGACUACUACAGCAUGGCUCUUCAGUAUCUUGGAUAUGAAAAUGCUUUUGGAGAAAGGUGUUUCAACAACUGUGAGAGAUCCUGUCUGGCAGAUGGCAUCAGACUCACAAAGUCACAUGGUCCUUCUAGUAGCACAUCAUCAUGCAGACACAUGUGGUACUUAUGCAAGAACAUCAUUAGAUGCACAAAGUACACGCCAAGAGGACUUUACAAGACACAGAAGGUCUUGCCAGGUUGAAAGCAUCAGACAUGCAAGGUCCUCAGGAAAGGAUGUUCAAUGUUGGGAGAUUCUACGGACUUCCAUUUCUUGCCUUGUCUGUGGAACCGUUAUCAUGAUGUUUUUGAUAUCUUGUUUGAAAGACAAAAUGCAAGAUAAUAAGCAGACAAGUUAUAUUGAAUUUACCAGCAACAAAGCAGGUGAACUUCAUAGAAUUUACCAGCAACAGACAACAAAGCAGGCAAGCUACAUUGAACUUACCAGCAGCACAGCAGGCAAGCUACAUUGAACUUACCAGCAGCAAAGCAUGCAAGCUACAUUGAACUUACCAGCAGCACAGCAGGCAAGCUACAUUGAACUUACCAGCAGCACAGCAGGCAAGCUACAUUGAACUUACCAGCAGCACAGCAGGCAAGCUACAUUGAACUUACCUGCAGCAAAGCAGACAAGCUACAUUUAAUUUAUCAGCAACAGACGACACUGCAGGCAAGUCACAUUGAAUUUACAAUCAACAAAGCAGGGAUAUUGAAUUUACUGGCAACAGGCAACAAAGCAGGCAAGUUAUACUGAAUGACAUUGACUCAGAAUCAAGCUCAGGAAUAUACUGACAAAUUAGGGAAAGAGUUACAAGGCAACAAAAUCAAGGAAAAGAGAAGUUAUGUUGGUUUUUGUUUUUCUUUAUAAAAUUUUAUAGUAGAUUGUGUAAAAGUCAUACUGUUCUUUCAGAUAUAGAGAUUUUAAGGUAUAGUUGAUAUUGUGAUUAAGACUAAAUCAGUGUAAACGUAAAUGGUAACAGACAAUAAAAGGCAUUUGAAUGAAAUCUAAAAAGCUAAAAUUGCUUUGAAAAAAUAACAUAUUUUUUAUUUAUUUAUAGCCAAAAGAUGCAAGUUUUAUUGUAUAUUUUACCACAAUCAAAAUAAUUACAAUUAAUCAAAGCAGUGUGUAUGUAAACAACCAAUCAAAAGUAUUUUGAUUUUUUUAAAAGCUGAAUAUUUUUUAAAAAAAAGGCUUCUUCUAGUAAAAAUUCCAAGGAUAUUUUUGCUUUGAAUUGAAAUGCAGAAAUAGAGAAUAACAGGUAACUGUCUUUUGAGAAAGGGUUUCUCAGAUGAGGCAGCCAAGGUCCUGGAAGGAGUAGGCUUGCCUAGCUCCUUCCGGACCAUAUCUGGUUCUGAGAAAUUCCUUUCUCAAAAGACAGUAACCUGUUAUUCUAUUUAUCAUGCCAUUAUUAACAACUUUUAUCCUACCUUCAUGCAAAAUAAAGGUAAAAACCUAGGGGUAGAAUAAAUUUUGCUGUUUUUAUGCCCCCGAAGGGAGGCAUAUAGUUUUUGAACCGUCUGUCCGUCUGUCAGUCCGUCGGUCUGUCAGUCUGUCGGUCUGUCAGUCUGUCCGCAAUUUUCGUGUCCGGUCCAUAUCUUUGUCAUCGAUGGAUGGAUUUUCAAAUAACUUGGCAUGAAUGUGUACCACAGUAAGACGACGUGUCGCGCGCAAGACUCAGGUCCGUAGCUGAAAGGUCAAGGUCACACUUAGACAUUAAAGGAUAGUGCAUUGAUGGGCGUGUCCGGUCCAUAUCUUUGUCAUCGAUGGAUGGAUUUUCAAAUAACUUGGCAUGAAUGUGUACCACAGUAAGACGACGUGUGGCUUGCAAGACCCAGGUCCGUAGCUCAAAGGUCAAGGUCACACUUAGACUUUUAAGGAUAGUGCAUUGAUGGGCGUGUCCGGUCCAUAUCUUUGUCAUCCAUGGAUGGAUUUUCAAAUAACUUGGCAUGAAUGUGUACCACAGUAAGAUGACGUGAUGCGUGCAAGACCCAGGUCCGUAGCUCAAAGGUCAAGGUCACACUUAGACGUUAAAGGAUAGUGCAUUGAUGGGCGUGUCCGGUCCAUAUCUUUGUCAUCCAUGGAUGGAUUUUCAAGUAACUUGGCAUGAAUGUGUACCACAGUAAGACGAUGUGUCAUGCGCAAGACCCAGGUCUGUAGCUCAAAGGUCAAGGUCACACUUAGACGUUAAAGGUCAUUUUUCAUGAUAGUGCAUUGAUGGGCGUGUCCGGUCCAUAUCUUUGUCAUUCAUGCAUGGAUUUAAAAUAACUACGCAUGAAUGUGUGACACAGUAAGACGACGUGUCGCGCGCAAGACCCAGCUCCGUAGGUCAAAGGUCCUAAACUCUAACAUCGGCCAUAACUAUUCAUUCAAAGUGCCAUUGGGGGCAUGUGUCAUCCUAUGGAGACAGCUCUUGUUUCAUUUUUAUUCUCUUUUAAAACUGUGCCAUCUUGAUUUUUGAGAAUAACUGCUAAAAGACAUACUUACGCAAUUAUUUUGAUAAAUUAUCAUUAGGUAUUUGAGACCAUGUCACUAAUGUAUAGCAAAUACAUGCUGUAACUGCAAUUACCAAAAAAAGUUUUUGUAACGGAAACGCUUGUAGACACAGAAAAUGACUCAUGAAUGUAAAGCAUUUGUUCAGGAUUUUAGCUCUCUACUCUUAAAUCAAGGAAUAUUGCAUCUGGAAUGGAAUGUUAAUGAAUAGAAUCAUCAAGGAAAUGAUUAUGCCUAUUUUUAUGCCCCCAGGCAUUUACCGAAGCAGGAGGCAUAUAGUGAUUGUCCUGUCCGUCCAUCCGUUUGUCCAUCCGACCGUAUGAGGUUAACCAAAUGGGACCGUUUCGUCUAGCAUCAAUACCCCUAACUAGAAUGACGCGAUACUAAUGCAGAUGUAACCUGUGACCAUUCCUCAUCUUCAGACAUCACCUGACCUCAGUUUGACCUUGACCUUAAACUUGACCUCGUUUUGGACUUAGGUUGCUUUGUAUCGACAAGGAUGCCACAGGGGGCAUCAAGCGUUUAUUGAAUGCAGCUCCUUGUUUUAUUAGGCAUAUUAAAAAUCGCACUGUCCGUCCGUCCGUGCAUGCGUCUGGUAAAUUCUUAUCCGGGCUGUAACUCUUCCAUCCAUAAAGGGAUUUUGAAAUUACUUGGCAUAAAUGUUCACCAUAUAAUGAGACGAAAUGUCAUAAGCAAGACCCAGACCCUGAGGUCAAAGGUUAACAUGGUCUGUUUUGUGUCCGGUCUAUAAUUCUGCCAUCCAUCAUCGGACCAUGAAGGGAUUUUGAAAUUACUUGGCAUAAAUGUUCACAAUAAUGAGACGAAGUGUCAUGAGCAAGACCCAGACCCCUAGCUCCAAGAUCAAGGUCACACUUAGAGGUCAAAGGUUAACAUGGUCUGUUUCUUGUCCAGUUCAUAACUCUGCCAUCGAUGAAGGGAGUUUAAAAUUACUUGGCAUAAAUGUUCCCUAUAAUGAGAUGAGGUGUCAUGUGCAAGACCCAGACCCCUAGCUCCAAGGUCAAGUUCACACUUAGAAGUCAAAGGUGUUUCUUGUCUGGUCCAUAACUCUGCCAUUUAUCAUGGGAUUUGAAAAUAAUUUAACACAAAUGUUAACCAUAUUGAGGAGAUUUGUCACACUUAUAAACGAGGCCUCUUAGGUCAAGGUCACAAAAUGAUAUGUGAUUUUUUGCGAAUACAGCUGUGGCAUUCUUGGGCCUACUUCAGGGGCAUUUGUCACCAAUAGUGACAGCUAUUGUUUUUUGUAAAUGGUGAACUAUUAGCAAUACACAUCAUGAGAAAAAAAUUUAAUGAGAAGUAGGUGAGAAUAUCUUGUAAAUAGUUAAUGGGACAUAUAUUAUAAGUCAGAUACAAAAUUUCUAAAUAUAUAAUCUGAAUAAUUAUAUAAGCUAGGUUAUCAUAUUAAGCAAAUCACACGUAUGUUGUAAAACAUGCAAUUUUAACAAGUAUAAAUCAGCCUGUGAUUAUAGACCACCUGCAAAUAUAUACACCACUUUUUAGCUUUUCAAAGAAUAUAGUCCUCAGCUUUUGUAUUCACCCUGGCAUUAGCGUCGGUGUCACACCAUGUUUAAAGUUUUGCAUGCAAGUACGUAUAGUUGUCAUUUAAAGGCUUAAAGCUUUGAAACUUGUUUUAUUUUUCUAGGCCAAUUUCCAGUCUCAUUGGGUCAAGUUCCAAAACUCUCAUGAAUUUUUGCCAUAUUUUACCCCCAUUUGGACUUUGAAAAUCCUGGUUAAAGUUUUGCAUACAAAUUACUUUCUCCAAAAUAAAUACAGAUAUUGAUUUGUAAUUUAUCAUGUGUCUUUAGGGUUAUAAAACUAGAUGAUAGCAUCAAGUUUCAUAAUUACUGUGACAUUUAUUUUAGUCAAAUUAUGACUCCCUUUGGACCUAGAAAGUCCUGGUUUAAGUUUUGCAUGUAAGUUACUAUCUCCAAAACUAAUGCAAAUACUGAAUUGAACAUUCAGAAGUAUUUUCAGGGUUAUAAAACUAGGUGAUAGCAUAAAGUCCCAUAACUGUGACAUGCAUUUUUUGCCAAUUUUUGCCCCUUUUGGACUUACAAAAUCCUGGUUAAGGUUUUGCAUGCAAGUAAAUUAUUAAUCCCCCACCACAAGUGAUGGGGAUUGUAGGAAUGGUCUCCGUCAUCCUUCUGUCAUUCCUUCUGUCCUUCCGUAUGUCCGUAACACUUUGUGUCUGCUCCAUAUCUCCUAAACCCCUUGAAGGAUUUCCAUGAAACUUGUGUCAAAUAAUCACCUCAUCAAGACGAUGUGCAGAACACGUGAUUCAGCCUUGUCGGCUCAAGGUCAAAGGUUUUAGCUUUCGAUUUUGUGUCCACUCUGUAUUUUCUAAACCCCUUUAAGGAAUUUUAUAAAACUUGGGUCAAAUGAUCACCUCAUUAAGACAAUGUGCAGAAUCCAUGAGUCAGCCAUGCUGGCUCAAGGUCAAAGUCACAACUUAGGGUUAAAGGUUUGAGCCUUCCAUUUUGUGUUCACUCUGUAUCUCCUAAAUCCCUUGAAGGAUUUUCAUCAGACUUUGGUCAAAUGAUCACCUCAUCAUGGCAAUGUGCAGAAUGCAUGAGUCAGUCAAGUUGGCUCAAGGUCAAGGUCACAACUCGAGGUCAAAGGUUUUAACCUUCUAUUUUGUGCAUGUGUCUGCUCUAUAUCUCCUAAAUCCCUUGAAGGAAUUUUAUAAAACUUAGGUUAAAUGAUCACCUCAUUAAGACAAUGUGCAGAACUUAUGAGUCAGCCAUGCUGGCUCAAGGUGAAGGUAACAAGUUAGGGUCAAAGGUUUGAGCCAUCCAUUUUGUGUCCACUAUCUCCUAAACCACUGCGGGGAAUCACAUGAUAAAAAUAAUCUCUAAACCAAAAUGAAUUUAUGAAUAACAUGGGAUAAUAUUGAAGACACUUUUGCUGUAUAUCUAAAAUAUAGCCAGCUAUCAUAUGGCAACAUAGAUGUAUCCUAAAACUGCAUAGAUUUCAAUCACAGUCACCUUCUGAUUAUCUGGAACACUUAAAGAAACUGACACGUCUUAUUUUCCUUAGUGUUUGUAAUUAUUUUUGUCAACUACAUAAUAAUUUAACAAGUUUCAUUAGUCGUAUGUUAGGCUAUGUUUAAACUUCAUAUCUUAUCCUUGUAGGAAAUUUACUCAUGUUCUUCAAAAUAUAACCUUUGUUUUGAUCAUGUGAUUCCCCUCAGUGUAAACCCCUUGAAGGAUUUUCAUCAAACUUUGGUCAAAUGGUCACCUCAUCAAGAACUCAUGAGUCAGCCAUGUCAACUCAAGGUCAAGGUCACAACUCAAGGUCAAAGGUUUGAGCUAUGUAUCUCUUAAACCCCUUGCAGGAUUUUCAUGGAACUUGGGUCAAAUGAUCACCUCAUCAAAACGAUUUGCAGAAUUCAUGAGUCAGCCAAUGUCAGCUCAAGGUCGAGGUCACAGCUCAAGGUCAAAUGUUUACCCUUUCACUAUCCAUAACAGUGACGGGGAUUUAGCUGUGUUUCAGACUGCCUUGUUAUAGCUAUUGUUUAAAGGCAUAUAGCUUUUACCUGUAUAUGAAAACAUUGCAUAAUUUUGAUAUCUAUUUUAAAAAGUCAGAUUUUAUAGGACUUGGAUAUUGGAGUAAAUUGAUUUUAAUUGUGGAUACGUCAACAGUAGAAAGACAUCAUAAAACAAAAGACUACAUCUUAACAAAAACACAUGUAAUACAUGACUUGUCAUUUACUGAAACAAGUACUAGUAAAGUAUUUUUAUCAUAAUUUCUGUUACUGCAUUGAAAAAUACUGAUGGUCAUAACACUGUUACCUUCAACCAGGUAUUAAAUUUCUGGUAUCAGAGUAAUACAUACUUAUCACUACUAAGCACAUUAAAAUAACCAAAUUCAAUCUGUGAUAUUUUAUAUGCCUCAGACAAGCAGUAAUCAAAACAUCAUAGUAUGAAACCCUGUCACUAAACAUUUCUCAUCCCCUCUUCUAGUCACAUAAACUUAAGUUAACGUUACACAAUGACUUUGUUCAAACCUGCCCCAUGUGGUUCUGGGACGAUCUAUAUAUGAAAAAAAUUGGAACCACUGCCUUACCCUUGCAUGAUUGUAAGAAGCGACUAAUAGGGUCUUAACACGUGGUUUUGCUGUAACUCUGUGAUUCCAGCAGCUAUGAAAAUUUUGAUUCCAUACCUCAUGUUUUUAUUUCGAUGUAAAUGAGAUGUGGAACCUAAAUUUGUAGUCCUGUUUGGCGCCAUAUAACCUAUACUGUGUUGGUGUGCCGUAAAACCCAAAUGAAUUGUUCAAACCUGGCUGCACAAAUUAAUUAUACAGAAAAGAAAAAUUAGAAUGUGAAUUUCAUAAAAAGGCUAGUUUUUCACGGCAAAUACUUCUAAAGAAAUGAAAUGAUGUCAAAAUGGCAGUAAGAACCACAAAAUGGCAAUAAGAGCCACGAAAUGGCAGUAAGCCACAAAAUGGCAGUAAGAGCCACAAAAUUGCAAUAAGAGCCACAUGGUAGAUUUCAGCAACUUUUUUUUUGUAUAAUGAUAAAAAGACAUGUUGUCAACUGUGUAUGAUUAGAGCUUGACACUUAACCGUCAGUGUUGAUUUUUGAACAGUGUUGAUUUUUUAGGGCUUUAUAGUAAUAUGAUGAAUUUUGCCAUUCAAAAAAAAAAGAGAUGAGAGAAGGGAAAGGAAAAGAUGAACAAAAACUGUAAAGAAUGAAGAAAGAAAAUGAAUGAAUGAAUGAAGAAUGAACAUACGAAUGAAUCAAAAGGAAAAAUGAGAGAAAGAAAAGGAAUGAAUCAACAAAUAUUGUAAAGAAUGAAAGAAAGCAAAAUGAAUAAAUGCAAGACGCAAGAAAGAAACCAAAAGGAAAAAUGAGAGAGAAAAAGGAAAGAAUGAACAAAAACUAGUGAGUGAAAGAAAGAAUGAAUGAAUGAAUGAAUGAAUGAAUGAACAAGAAAGAAUAAAAGGAAAGAAAGAGAAUAAGAAUAAUCAAAUGAAAAGAAAAAUAGAAAACUGUUAUGAAACAAUUUUUUAAGUAUGUCAAAUAGAAGAACAUGAAAUAAUCUUUAUUAAACAAAACUGGACUGCAUAUUUUAUGUGAAAUAAUGAUUACAGUGAAAUCACUUAAUUUUGUGGGCUUGUACUUUUUUGCCCAAAUGGCUAUUAUGAAUUUAUUGAUGAUGAGAAUAACUGGAGUUUUUAAUUUAUGGAUUAGCACAUCUCUGAAACUAAUAACAAAAUCCAAAGAAGAUUACCUUCCACAAAUAUCAAUGAUUUCAGGGAGUAUAUAAACAAAUACCAAUGGAUGAAUACAUGCAGGCAGCAAUGCUUGGAUUUUCUGCAUAAUAUUAAUAUGAUUUCCUGUAUUUUGGCAUUGUUUGUAGGAGUUGUAUAUAAUUUAAUCAAAUGUAUGUCAAAGCCAAGGCUUUGCCUGUUUAGCCUUGUUUUCUUUCUAUCUGAUUAUGUACCAUUAUCAUAUUACACUUCAAUUUGACUUUGUAAAAUAAUUAUGAUAAAAGUUUGCAAUUGUUCAGUAGAAAAAAAUAAAGAUUAGUUGAACAAUUAAAGAAUGUAUUUUAACCUAUGAUUUGAUUUUUGUAUUUUACAUGUCAGAAAAGAGAACUGUUAGAAACAUGUUAGUUUUCUGUUAUAUAAAGAUCAGUUUUAUAAAUUCUUUCUGAUAUUUGUACAUUUCAUAUACAGCAAUUUCCAUCAUCAUCGUUUCCAAUGUUUUCUCUCCGUUGCAUCCUGUUAAUCAUUAUUAAUAAUUAAGUUUUACAUUUUCAAAUAAGUAUGAAUAAAUAUAACAGAAUCUAUAAUAUAAUAAAUAAAUCAAAUAAA